AGAGCGAACGCUGGCGGCAGGCUUAACACAUGCAAGUCGAGCGGGCGUAGCAAUACGUCAGCGGCAGACGGGUGAGUAACGCGUGGGAACAUACCUUUUGGUUCGGAACAACACAGGGAAACUUGUGCUAAUACCGGAUAAGCCCUUACGGGGAAAGAUUUAUCGCCGAAAGAUUGGCCCGCGUCUGAUUAGCUAGUUGGUGAGGUAACGGCUCACCAAGGCGACGAUCAGUAGCUGGUCUGAGAGGAUGAUCAGCCAUAUUGGGACUGAGACACGGCCCAAACUCCUACGGGAGGCAGCAGUGGGGAAUAUUGGACAAUGGGCGCAAGCCUGAUCCAGCCAUGCCGCGUGAGUGAUGAAGGCCCUAGGGUUGUAAAGCUCUUUUGUGCGGGAAGAUAAUGACGGUACCGCAAGAAUAAGCCCCGGCUAACUUCGUGCCAGCAGCCGC
rnacentral:rRNA from 1 species